rnacentral:lncRNA from 1 species
CUCUCCAAUCGAGGUAAGCUCAAUAAUUGGGAACCGUGCCCCUCUAAUUAGGCUGGCCCACGAAACCCCCGUCACUGCAGUGCCCACUUUAUAAUCCACCAACUAAUAAAAUCAUAAUAGUAUGACAUGGCUCACUUAACACAUUCAAGGCAAAUCAAAGAAGUUCACAUAUACUUUAAAUCAUAAAAAUAACCAGUCAUACCCACAUUUAUCAUAAGCCAUUUAAUGUAAAAUCAUGGAUAAACAACACAAUCAUAGUAUAGGUCUCCAAUUACUCUAUUUUUGAAAUCAUUAUUAAAUUUGAAAAAAUUUUAUAAAAUCUCAUUUUCCCAAAAAACACAAUAAUUUUCCAAUUAAACCAUUUUUCCAUAAAAUCACACAAUUAAAUAAAUCUACUCUAGAUAAUUAAGACGAUAGUAAGUUUAUUCACUGUUCUAGGAGUCGAUAUACUCCUAUUUUCAGUCCGCGGGUACAGUCCUUUACCCGUAUCUAAUGGCUCACCACCUAGCCAUAAUCCAUGGCACAUAUUUUAAUUAAAUUGUGUCUAACAGUCAUAAGUUAUUUCAGGCUCGAUAUAUAUGCAUGAUAUGAAAUGAAAAAUGCACAAGUAGCCAUCUAGACCCGGCAUUGACCUAAGUCAAUUUUUCAUCCAAUAAAUUGGCCAAUGAGUCCAAUUUCACUCCAACUUUCUCCAUUUCUUUUCCAAUCCCUCAAUUCACCAAGCACAACUAAUUAACACACAAUUAGGCAAAUUUAUCUUCACUUUUCUUCUUGGAACUUUCGGCCAUUGAAGGUUCAUGGGGAAAAUGGAUUCUUUUCUUGUUGUUUUGUUUCUAAACAUGUUUAACUAACUCUAAACACCAACAUAACUCAAAAUCAAACAAUUCCAACAUCUUUCUCUCUCCAUACCCAUUUUGACCAGCCAUAAUUUCAUCAUGAAAACAUGUAAUUUAACCAUGGAAAUUAAGGAAAAAUGCAUGGGUAAGGUAAAUCACUAGCAAAAUCAAAGAAAUUUUACCUUUGCUUGAUCAAAUCCUUGAAUUCCAACACUUUCUCUUUGAUUUUUUCCACCUAGGGUUUGUUCUUCCUUGGUUUCUCUUCUCUUCUGGUUUGG